rnacentral:rRNA from 1 species
GUGGGGAAUAUUGGGCAAUGGGCGAAAGCCUGACCCAGCAACGCCGCGUGAAGGAAGAAGGUCUUCGGAUCGUAAACUUCUAUCCUUGGUGAAGAUAAUGACGGUAGCCGAGAAGGAAGCCCCGGCUAACUACGUGCCAGCAGCCGCGGUAAUACGUAGGGGGCAAGCGUUGUCCGGAAUGAUUGGGCGUAAAGGGCGCGUAGGCGGCCUGGUAAGUCUGGAGUGAAAGUCCUGCUUUUAAGGUGGGAAUUGCUUUGGAUACUGUCGGGCUUGAGUGCAGGAGAGGUAAGUGGAAUUCCCGGUGUAGCGGUGAAAUGCGUAGAGAUCGGGAGGAACACCAGUGGCGAAGGCGGCUUACUGGACUGUAACUGACGCUGAGGCACGAAAGUGUGGGGAGCAAACAGGAUUAGAAACCCCUGUAGUCC